AUUGAACGCUGGCGGCAGGCCUAACACAUGCAAGUCGAACGAGCGGCGGACGGGUGAGUAAUGUAUGGGGAUCUGCCCGAUAGAGGGGGAUAACUACUGGAAACGGUGGCUAAUACCGCAUACUAUCGGAUGAACCCAUAUGGGAUUGGCUAGUAGGUGGGGUAAAGGCUCACCUAGGCGACGAUCUCUAGCUGGUCGGAGAGGAUGAUCAGCCACACGGGAACUGGGACACGGCCCAGACUCCUACGGGAGGCAGCAGUGGGGAAUAUUGCACAAGGGGCGCAAGCCUGAUGCAGCCAUGCCGCGUGUAUGAGGAGGGCCUUAGGGUUGUAAGGUACUUUCAGCGGGGAGGCGUUACCCGCAGAGGAAGCACCGGCUAACUCCGUGCCAGCAGCCGCGGUAAUAC
rnacentral:rRNA from 1 species